AGCUCCCUUGACAGAAUAACUGAAAGCAAUGCAAUUUUGAAUCUGACGCAUGAGAAAGAAAAAGCAAGAAACUUUUCAGAAGCUCAAAGAUCAGAGCUUGUGCAUCAAACUAAACCAGUCACAAGUUGGCCCCGUGCCAGGCGAGGAAAUGUUCACUGUGCUGUAUUUUUCCGUCAUUUUCUGACAUCUGAAGUUUUUAUCUGCCUUCUCUACAGCAGAACCUUCCUUGUGACAUGUCCAUAUGCUUCCUCUCCUCCCAUCUCUAUCCAGGUUGAUGUAGACGUCUUUAUGAAUUUAAAAACACGAAUAACUAAUGUGAACUUGAAAUUGUCUAUAAAUAACAUUUAAAGACAAAGCCAUUAACUGGAGCAUAAUCAGAUUCUCUGAAGUUGGAAUCAAAGAUCAUACAUCAUAAUACAACUCCACUACUUAGUAGACUCAUCAUUCUGGCUACCAUUUUGUGUGUGUGGUUUUUUUACCCGUUCAACUAAGCCUUAUUGUUAAGAUAAUUUUAAGGGAUUAUAAGAACUUUUUAAAAUUUUUUUAUUUGUAAUUUUUGUGGGUAAAUGGUAGGUGUCUAUGUUCAUGGGUACAUGAGAUGUUUUGAUCCUGGCAUGCAAUACACUAAUAUAAUAAAACAAGCAGAUCAUACCCAAGAGAAUUGGGUAUCCAUCCCUUUGAGCAUUUAUCCUUUGUGUUACAAAUAAUUCAGUUAAACUCUUUUAAUUAUUUUUAAAUGUAUAAUUAAGUUCUUAUUGACUAUAGUCACCCUCUUAUUCUAUCAAAUAGUAGGUCUUAUUCUUUCUAUUUUUUUGUACCCAUUAACCAAAGCUUUUUUUUUUUUUUUUUUUUUUUUUAAAUAGAAAAACCUUAUGUUCUAUUAGCAAAGGCAUCGGUAAUAUUUUAGUAGCUGUACAAACUAGUGUCUCUGUUUUUUUUCUGUGUCCCAAGGAUACCAGUAAAGCCACGAGUAUUGGACACAUUGAUAAUGGGUUGCUUGUUACAAAUUGCUUUUCCAUGACACAAGUUUACCUAUGUGAUAAACCCGCACUUACGUACACCUGAACAUAAAAUAAAAGUUUAAAAAUUUGCUCCUAAUGCACAUUAGCAUUAAUAAAGAAUAUCAAGCAAAUGGCAUAAUCCAAUCAUAUUUAAUAAGCAUUUAUAAAUAUUAGGACCAUUUGAGCCUCUAUAAAUACAGGGUAAUUAAGAUGGACUUUCUCAAGAAAUUUAGUUUCUGGUGUAAAGAGUCCAAGCAGAUGUUCAGGGAUGGAAUAUGAGUUUGGAUAGCUCAAAUAUACAAUUCAUGCCUGAAUUUUUUUAUAAUUUCAUUUUUUAAAAAUUUUAGAUUUGAGAUACAUGUGCAGGUUUAUUACCUGAGUAUAGUGCAUGAAGCUGAGGUUUGGAAUACAAAUGAUCCUGUCACGCAUGUACUGAGCACAGUAGCCAACAGUCAGUUUUUCAACCCUCACCUCCCACCCUCCCUCCCUCUUAUAGUAGUCCCCAGUGUUUAUUUUUCCCAUCUUUAUGUCCAUGAGUACCCAAUGUUUAGCUCCCGUUUAUAAGUGAGAACAUGUGGUAUUUGGUUUUCUGUUCCUGCAUUGAUUUGCUUAGGAUAAUGGCCUCCAGCUGCAUCCAUGUUGCUGCAAAGUCAUGUCAGAAUUUUGGCUAGACUAUGUACAAAGGAUAUGUACUAUAUGUGUGAGAAAAACAGAGUAAGUCACAGUCAUACUGGAAGUAAUCAAUUCAUUUUAAAAAGUGGCCAAAUUUACUUUAUGCAACAAAAGCAUGAGUCCUAGUUUGGAAACUAAUAAUUUCACUGAUAAUAAGGCAUGGAAUUUAGAGUAAGGAAGCUUAGAUGUCAUUCCCAACUCUGCCAGUAAGUGCUGAGUGAUCUUAAUCAACCUGGUUGACCUUUCCAAAGCUUUUUAUGGGUUGCUUAUGCAUAAAAUGAGUGGUUGACUCUUGUGACCUCCAAAGUCAUGUCCAACUCCACGAUCUAAGGAGAAAGGAAACUCAGAGAAUCCUUUGGAUAAGAAUUGACCCUCCAACCAAAGGAAGAAUGCUUUUCUACUUUCCAAGAAGCUUAUGAAGACUGCUAAAAUACAGAACUUAAUUACAGAAAAUCUUAACUCUGCAGACUUCUGCAGAAAGCACUGAAAAUAAUUUCAAUUACCCCUUAUGUGAUAAUUUUUAGCGUAGGUUAGGAGCCGUUUCUGAUACACAACAUACUAGAACUAACUAAGCAAGGCCUAUGUUUUAAUUUUAGGACAGUGUAUAUUUGUAAAAAGAGCUCGGACUUUGGAAUCAAAUAGACCUGGCCUUCCCAUUUCUUAACCAUGUGAAUUUUAACAAGCUACUCAACCUCUCUAAAUAUGAGUUUCCUUAUGAAAAGGGAGUUUAAUAAUAUCUAUUUCAGACAGAUGCUAGGAUCAAAUGGAAUAAUGUAUGUGGAGUCUAAGGCUGUGCCUGGCACUCAGUAGACAAUAAAUGCUAAUUCCUCUUAAGAGAGUUAAAGAUUAAUAUGUUGAAAAUAGGCACUUCGUUUACGCGACUAGUCACCCAACAUAUUUCUUAUGGGUCAGGGUGAGUUCUACUGAUACAGAUUGCUCAGACAAAGCAAUGAAACACAGAUGAAUCUAUUAAGAAAACAAUAAUAUUUACAAUACCAUGAAAAAACGAAAUACUUAGGAAUCAAUUUUACCAAGCAGGUGAAAGACUUGUACACUGAAAGUUAUAAAACACUGAUGAAAGAAAUUUUAAAAAGACACAAAUAAAUAGACAUCCUAUGUUCCAGGAUUGGAAGACUUAAUCUUGUUAAGAUGUCCACAUGGCCCAAAGCAAUGUACAGAUUCAAUGCAAUCCUUAUCAAAAUCCCAAUGACAUAUUUUACAUAAAUAGGGAAACAAUCCUAAAAUUUGUAUACAACCACAAAAGACCCUGAAAAGCCAAAGAGAUCCUGACAAGGAACAACAAAGCUGGAGGCAUCACACUUGCUGAUUUUUAAAUUUAUUACAAAGCUACAGUAAUUAAAACAGUAUGGUACUGGCAUAAACACAGAUACAUACACAAAUGGAACAAAAUACAGAGCCCAGAAAUAAACCAACACAUGUACAGUCAACUGAUCUUCAAUAAAGUGCCAGAAUACACAAUGAGGGAAGGAUGGUCUCUUAAAAAAAAUGGCACUGAAAACAGUGGGUAUCCAUAUGUAAAAGAAUGAAAUUGGAACCUUACCCUACACCAUAUGCAAAAUCAACUCGAAAUGAAUGAGUCUUAAACAUAAGAACUGAAACAGUAAAACUUGUAGAAGAAACACAGGGGAAAAGCUUUAUAACUUUGAUCUUGGCACUGACUUCUUGGAUAUGACAUCAAAAACAUUAGCAAUGAUAGCAAAUAAAGACAAGUGGGAGGGGCCUGGCACAGUGACUCACACCUGUAAUUCCAGCACUUUGGGAGGCCGAGGCAGGUGGAUCACCUGGGGUUAGAAGUUUGAAACCAGCCUGGCCAACAUGGUGAAACCCCAUCUCUACUAAAAAUACAAA
ensembl:lncRNA